rnacentral:rRNA from 1 species
AAUGAACGUUGGCGGCAUGGAUUAGGCAUGCAAGUCGAGCGCGAAGAGUCAUUUGCUUGCAUUUGACUCUGAAAGCGGCGUAAGGGUGAGUAACGCGUAGUUACCUACCUCCGGGUCCGGAAUAGCUGCGGGAAACUGCAGGUAAUGCCGGAUAACAUCACAGGAUCAAAGGUGAGAUUCCGCCCGGGGAGGGGACUGCGUCCUACUAGCUUGUUGGUGGGGUAAUGGCCUACCAAGGCUUCGAUGGGUAGCGGGCGUGAGAGCGUGGCCCGUCACACUGGGACGGAGAAACUGCCCAGACACCUACGGGUGGCUGCAGUCGAGAAUCUUCGGCAAUGGGCGAAAGCCUGACCGAGCAAUGCCGCGUGCGGGAUGAAGGCCCUCGGGUUGUAAACCGCGAAAGUAAGGAGGAAGGACCUGCGAAGAGCAGGUUUUGGCCGAUCUACAGUAAGGACGGGCUAAGUUCGUGC